CAGUAGCCACGGUAAUACGGAGGGGGCUAGCGCUGUUCGGAAUUACUGGGCGUAAAGCGCACGUAGGCGGCUUUGUAAGUUAGAGGUGAAAGCCUGGAGCUCAACUCCAGAAUUGCCUUUAAGACUGCCGAGCUAGUAGGUGAGAGAGGUAAGUGGAAUUCCGAGUGUAGAGGUGAAAUUCGUAGAUAUUCGGAAGAACACCAGUGGCGAAGGCGGCUUACUGGCUCAUUCUAGACGCUGAGGUGCGAAAGCGUGGGGAGCAAACAGGAUUAGAUACCCGUGUAGUCCCUGUCUCUUAUAC
rnacentral:rRNA from 1 species